UGUGUCCUACGGGGCGCAGCAGUAGGGAAUCUUCCACAAUGGACGAAAGUCUGAUGGAGCAACGCCGCGUGAGUGAAGAAGGGUUUCGGCUCGUAAAGCUCUGUUUGUAGUGAAGAAAGAUAGAGGUAGUAACUGGCCUUUAUUUGACGGUAAUUACUUAGAAAGUCACGGCUAACUACGUGCCAGCAGCCGCGGUAAUACGUAGGUGGCAAGCGUUGUCCGGAGUUACUGGGUGUUAAGGGAGCGUAGGCGGCCUGGCAAGCCUGAUGUGAAAUAACGGGGCCCAACCCCGGGGCUGCAUUUGG
rnacentral:rRNA from 1 species